GUAGUCUGCAACUCGACUACAUGAAGCUGGAAUCGCUAGUAAUCGCGAAUCAGAAUGUCGCGGUGAAUACGUUCCCGGGUCUUGUACACACCGCCCGUCACACCAUGGGAGUCGGGAAGUGCCCGAAGUCAGUGACCCAACCUAAGAGGGAGGGAGCAGCCGAAGGCAGGUCUGAUGACUGGGGUGAAGUCGUAACAAGGUACC
rnacentral:rRNA from 1 species